GAUGAACGCUGGCGGCGUGCCUAAUACAUGCAAGUCGAGCGAACGGACGAGAAGCUUUCUUCUCUGAUGUUAGCGGCGGACGGGGUAGUAACACGUGGAUAAACUACCUAUAAGACUGGGGUAACUUCGGGAAACCGGAGCUAAGGCCGGAUAAUAUUUUGAACCGCAUGGUUCAAAAGUUGAAGACUGUCUUGCUGUCACUUAUAGAUGGAUCCGCGCUGCAUUAGCUAGUUGGUAAGGUAACGGCUUACCAAGGCAACGAUGCAUAGCCGACCUGAGAGGGUGAUCGGCCACACUGGAACUGAGACACGGUCCAGACUCCUACGGGAGGCAGCAGUAGGGAAUCUUCCGCAAUGGGCGAAAGCCUGACGGAGCAACGCCGCGUGAGUGAUGAAGGUCUUCGGAUCGUAAAACUCUGUUAUUAGGGAAGAACAUAUGUGUAAGUAACUGUGCACAUCUUGACGGUACCUAAUCAGAAAGCCACGGCUAACUACGUG
rnacentral:rRNA from 1 species